CUCUGCCAUAGGACCGGCAGCUGACCUGGGGAGGCUGUAUGCAUUUGGACUGCUCUGAAGUGUGUUUUGGCUGCAUUUAAAGAAAUCUAUGGUGAAAAUAUGCUGGGAGGAAGCCUCAGACAGAAGAAGAUUAUUUUCCCAUGGGGAGUGGAAGACCAAUAUAAUUUGCAGUGAGGAAGGUACAAUUAUAAUCCUAUCUAUGCCAAACAUGGCUUCACAAAAUACGUACAAGGCGUGAGAAGGAAGAAAAUAAGC